UACGUAGGGACCAAGCGUUGUUCGGAUUUACUGGGCGUAAAGGGCGCGUAGGCGGUCAGCACAAGUCAGUUGUGAAAUCUCCGGGCUUAACUCGGAAAGGUCAACUGAUACUGUGCGACUAGAGUGCGGAAGGGGCAACUGGAAUUCUUGGUGUAGCGGUGAAAUGCGUAGAUAUCAAGAGGAACACCUGCGGCGAAGGCGGGUUGCUGGGCCGACACUGACGCUGAGGCGCGAAAGCCAGGGGAGCGAACGGGG
rnacentral:rRNA from 1 species